CUACGGGCUGCUGCAGUGAGGAAUAUUGCACAAUGGGGGGAACCCUAAUGCAGCAACGCCGCGUGGAGGAUGACGCAUUUCGGUGUGUAAACUCCUUUUAUAUGUCAAGAAAAUGACGGUAGCAUAUGAAUAAGCACCGGCUAACUCCGUGCCAGCAGCCGCGGUAAUACGGAGGGUGCAAGCGUUACUCGGAAUCACUGGGCGUAAAAGACGCGUAGGCGGGUUGGAAAGUCAGGUGUGAAAUCCUACAGCUUAACUGUAGAACUGCACUUGAAACUUCUAAUCUAGAGUAUGGGAGGGGGAGAUGGAAUUAGUGGUGUAGGGGUAAAAUCCGUAGAUAUCACUAGGAAUACCUAAAGCGAAGGCGAUCUCCUGGAACAUUACUGACGCUAAGGCGUGAAAGCGUGGGGAGCAAACAGGAUUAGAUACCCCGGUAGUC
rnacentral:rRNA from 1 species